rnacentral:rRNA from 1 species
GUCCACGCCGUAAACGAUGAGUACUAGGUGUUGCGGGUAUUGACCCCUGCAGUGCCGCAGCUAACGCAUUAAGUACUCCGCCUGGGAAGUACGGUCGCAAGACUAAAACUCAAAGGAAUUGACGGGGCCCGCACAAGCGGUGGAGCAUGUGGUUUAAUUCGACGCAACGCGCAGAACCUUACCUGGGCUUGACAUCUGCGGAAUCUUCGUGAAAGCGAGGAGUGCCUUCGGGAGCCGCAAGACAGGUGCUGCAUGGCUGUCGU